CAUGACGAGAACAAGCCGACUACAGCCAAUGUUACUACUGUAAUUAAUGACGACGAUCCGGAUUCAAAUGCGACUCCACCACCGGAAAAUAAGACUUGACGUUAAACCUUUCAGAGAGAGUGGCUUAAAGAUUUCGAGUGUCUCCUCUAUGAAAAUGGCUCGAUGUAACUUACUUUGCUUACUGUAAAUCCUGUAAAACGGCGUUGGUGGCGGAAUCAAAACAUUUUAAGCGACAGACCUUGCACAUGGCGAAAGUGCCAAAAACACAAAUAGUGUCAUGACAAAUGUGUUCAUUAUUGAUGGAGACACCGACCUGUCUGUCAAAGAGUGUUUGAUAGUGUAUGUGCGCAUGCGCUGGUGAAUGGACAUCCGACAAACAUCCUUGUGGUCCAUGUUGAUGUGGAACACGACAAUGUUGAUGAGUGCCAUGUAGCGACGGAUCAAACGGACACUCAUGUCAAGCUUGAUGAGGACACAGUCAAAGCUUUAAAAGACCUUGUGAUUAAGUCUUCAGUGUCUGAAUGGCAAGAAGAAGUGACCCUCCACUUAAACGUGACAUUUAAACUUCUCUGUGUUUUGGUUCAGCCAUUUGUAGGUUUAUCUCGAGUAAGUUCAAAUGCACUUCUGCAUUUGUCCAGUAACUUUUUGUUUAGAGAAUUACAUCAUUAUGAUUAUAUAAUUAUUCAAUGGUUGCAUAUUCAUAGUGUACUUUUCAUAUUGAUGUAUUAAUGUUCCACAAUUUGAUAAAAGUAGCUCAUUGCAUUUCACUGAUCUUUGUUUUAUAUUGUAAAAUCAUUUCAAUAGCAGUAAAUACAUACUUAGUUGUUUCUUUAACAUUUAAUUAGUUGUUAAUGAUGGAAGAAACCGGUUCGUAUGUAUGAAUACAGAAUAGGUAUCAUUUUAGAAUGAGUUAAAACAUGUUUUGGUGGCAAACAUGCAGGUAAAAUAGUACAUGUAUAACAUUCUAAUAGUAAACUUGACUGUAAUUCAAAUGUCACAUACAGUACAUUAGAAA